rnacentral:rRNA from 1 species
GAUGAACGCUGGCGGCGUGCCUAAUACAUGCAAGUCGAGCGAACAGACGAGGAGCUUGCUCCUCUGACGUUAGCGGCGGACGGGUGAGUAACACGUGGAUAACCUACCUAUAAGACUGGGAUAACUUCGGGAAACCGGAGCAAAUACCGGAUAAUAUAUUGAACCGCAUGGUUCAAUAGUGAAAGACGGUUUUGCUGUCACUUAUAGAUGGAUCCGCGCCGCAUUAGCUAGUUGGUAAGGUAACGGGUUACCAAGGGAACGAGGCGUAGCCGACCUGAGAGAGUGAUAGGCCACACUGGAGCUGAGACACGGUCCAGAGUCCUACGGGAGGCAGCAGUAGGGAAUCUUCCGCAAUGGGCGAAAGCUUGACGGAACAACGCCGCGUGAGUGAUGAAGGUCUUCGGAUCGUAAAACUCUGUUAUUAGGGAAGAACAAAUGUGUAAGUAACUAUGCACGUCUUGACGGUACCGAAUCAGAAAGCCACGGCUAACUACGUG